GAUGAACGCUGACAGAAUGCUUAACACAUGCAAGUCUACUUGAACUUCGGUUUGGGUGGCGGACGGGUGAGUAACGCGUAAAGAACUUGCCUCACAGUUAGGGACAACAUUUGGAAACGAAUGCUAAUACCUGAUAUUAUGAUUUUAGGGCAUCCUAGGAUUAUGAAAGCUAUAUGUGCUGUGAGAGAGCUUUGCGUCCCAUUAGCUAGUUGGAGAGGUAACGGCUCACCAAGGCGAUGAUGGGUAGCCGGCCUGAGAAGGUGAACGGCCACAAGGGGACUGAGACACGGCCCUUACUCCUACGGGAGGCAGCAGUGGGGAAUAUUGGACAAUGGACCAAAAGUCUGAUCCAGCAAUUCUGUGUGCACGAUGACGUUUUUCGGAAUGUAAAGUGCUUUCAGUUGGGAAGAAAAAAAUGACGGUACCAACAGAAGAAGUGACGGCUAAAUACGUG
rnacentral:rRNA from 1 species